UGGGGAAUUUUGGACAAUGGGCGCAAGCCUGAUCCAGCCAUGCCGCGUGCAGGAUGAAGGCCCUCGGGUUGUAAACUGCUUUUGUACGGAACGAAAAGCCUCUUUCUAAUAAAGAGGGGUGAUGACGGUACUGUAAGAAUAAGCACCGGCUAACUACGUGCCAGCAGCCGCGGUAAUACGUAGGGUGCGAGCGUUAAUCGGAAUUACUGGGCGUAAAGCGUGCGCAGGCGGUCUUGCAAGACAGUGGUGAAAUCCCCGGGCUCAACCUGGGAACUGCCAUUGUGACUGCAAGGCUGGAGUACGGCAGAGGGGGAUGGAAUUCCGCGUGUAGCAGUGAAAUGCGUAGAUAUGCGGAGGAACACCGAUGGCGAAGGCAGUCCCCUGGGCCUGUACUGACGCUCAUGCACGAAAGCGUGGGGAGCAAACA
rnacentral:rRNA from 1 species